GUAGGGUGCGAGCGUUAAUCGGAAUUACUGGGCGUAAAGCGUGCGCAGGCGGUUCUGAAAGUCAGCUGUGAAAGCCCCGGGCUUAACCUGGGAAUGGCGGUUGAAACUACAGGACUAGAAUCUGGCAGAGGGGGGUGGAAUUCCACGUGUAGCAGUGAAAUGCGUAGAGAUGUGGAAGAACACCGAUGGCGAAGGCAGCCCCCUGGGCUGAGAUUGACGCUCAGGCACGAAAGCGUGGGGAGCAAACAGGAUUAGAUACCCUGGUAGUCCACGCCCUAAACGAUGUCAACUAGGUGUUGGGAGCGCAAGUUCUUGGUACCGCAGCUAACGCGUGGAGUUGACCGCCUGGGGAGUACGGUCGCAAGAUUA
rnacentral:rRNA from 1 species